ensembl:lncRNA
AGAAUGAGGAAGAGGAGGAGGAGUAGUAAGAAGAUGAACAAGGAGUAAAAGGAGGAAGAGAUGGAAAAAUAAUAGAAAUAGUAGGAGAGGAAAAAGAAAAAGGCGCAGAGGAGAAAUAAAGAAGAACAAAGAGGAGAGGAAGGAGGAAAAUAGGAGGGGAGGAGUAGAAAAAGGAUGACAAAAGAAUGGCAAGACUGGAGGAAAAGAAAAGGAUGAGGAAGAGCAGAAAGAAGCAAGAUGAGCAAGGAGCACAAGGAGGAAGGGAUGAAAAGAAGAGGAAGAAGGCAACAGAGAAGGAGGAGGAGAAAGGAGACAGAAAGGGUAGAAGGAAGGAUAUGGAGAAAGGACAAGACAAAGAAGGAGAAGAAUAGACAAAAAGGGAGGAGGAGAAAGAAGGAGAAGAAAACAAUGAGGAAGAGUAGAAAAAGACAAAAGAACAGGAAUGGGGAGUAAAAGGAGGAAGAUAUGGAGAAGAAUUAGUAGUAGAAGAGGAAGAGGGAGGAGAGCACGAAGAAAAGAGUCGUACAGGAAAAAGGAGGAAGAGAAGAAAAGCAUUAAGCAAGAGGAGAAGACAAGAAUGACAAGAAGUAGGAGAAGAAGAAAAUAAUGAAAAAAGAAUAUAGAAGAACAAGGACUAAAGGGAGGAAGGGAAGAGAAAGAGUGUGAAAAGAAUGAGAAGAGAAUGAGGGAGAGUAGGAGAAGAAGAGGAGCAAAGAGUAAAGGAAGGAACAGAUGAAGAAAAAUGAGUUGUAGAAGAGGAAGGAGGAGAACAAAAAUGAAGAAAAAAAUGGGAGAAAAUGGAGGAAGAGAAGACAAGACUGACAAGAAGGAAGAAUGAAAAAGGACAAAAAAUGGGAAAAAAGGGAGGAAGAGAUAAGAGGGUGUAGCAUAAGGAGACAAUAAAGACAGAAGAAGAAAAGAAAGAGAAAAAGAGGGAAAACAAAAAGCCAGAAGGAAUAGUAAUAGAAAAGGAAGAGGAAGAAGGAUGAGUAGAAGGAAGAAGAAAUGGACCCAAAGACAAAAGGAGGAAGGAGGAAAAGACAAAAGGAACAGAGAAGGAAGAGGAAGAGAGGCAAGAGAUGAAAAACAAGAGGAAAAGGUAACAGAAGGAGGAGGACAAAGAUGAUAAAUACAAAAGAGGAGGAGAAAGUAGGAGAAGACAGAAGCAGGAAAGAAAAAUUAGGAGAUGGAGUAGAAGAGGAAGAUGGAGGGAAGAGGAGAAGGAAAAAACAAGGAAAAGGAGGAGGUUAAAAGAAUGAGAAAGACAAAGAGG